UUAAAACUUUCAACAACGGAUCUCUUGGUUCUGGCAUCGAUGAAGAACGCAGCGAAAUGCGAUAAGUAAUGUGAAUUGCAGAAUUCAGUGAAUCAUCGAAUCUUUGAACGCACAUUGCGCCCUUUGGUAUUCCGAGGGGCAUGCCUGUUCGAGCGUCAUUACACCACUCAAGCACAGCUUGGUAUUGGGCCU
rnacentral:rRNA from 1 species